rnacentral:rRNA from 1 species
UACGUAGGGUGCGAGCGUUGUCCGGAAUUAUUGGGCGUAAAGGGCUCGUAGGCGGUUUGUCGCGUCGGGAGUGAAAACCCAGGGCUUAACCCUGGGCUGGCUUCCGAUACGGGCAGACUAGAGGUAUGCAGGGGAGAACGGAAUUCCUGGUGUAGCGGUGAAAUGCGCAGAUAUCAGGAGGAACACCGGUGGCGAAGGCGGUUCUCUGGGCAUUACCUGACGCUGAGGAGCGAAAGCGUGGGGAGCAAAUAGG